GUGACUCCUUGGGUUCCAGGCAGAGUACCCGUGUGGAGAACCCCUGCCCGUGGGAGGAUAAGCCCCGGGUUCUGGCUGUUUGGGCCUGUCUGCAGAGGGCCUGAGGACAAGAAAGGCUGACGGGGCCUAAGGAAAGGAGACGAAGGAUGAAGGAAGAGUACGCAGGACACAGCCUGGAGGAAAGGGGAAGCAGGAAAGGGGAGCCUCGGGGAGGUGGAUCAGACUGGCCUUUCAGAAUGAGCUGCAGGGAAGCCAGGACGCGUUCCCGGGCCAGCCUCACCCACAGCCCCCUCCCAGGAGGGCUGCCCAAGUGGCUUCUGGCUCCUCCCUGCAGAAGUGGCUGUGCUCUGUGUCACACUUGCCUUGGGAAGCUAACAAAUACAGCCAUCUCAGCCACAGCUGUCUGGCCCGGGGAUCAAUACCCAGGCCAAGGGGACCACAUUUAGGCUAGAAGCAAGAGAGGCCACACCUGAGACAGCCUGGCACGGAAUUUUAUCCAAUCAGAGCUGGGCGCAGUGGCUCCUGCCUAUAAUCCCAGCACUUUGGGAGGCCAAGGCGGGCGGAUCACUUGAGGUCAGGAGUUUGAGAUCAGCCUGGCCAACAUGGUGAAACCUGUCUCUACUAAAAAAAAAAAAUACAAAAAUUGGCCGGGCACGGUGGCUCAC
rnacentral:lncRNA from 10 species